CAGCAAGUGAAGAAAGUUUUACAUAAUUUCAGAAGCAUUAAAAAGACAUUAAGUAGGAACUUAAAAGUUCGCAAAAACUAGAGCAUUUUAUAUUUUAUGACUGAGGAA
rnacentral:snoRNA from 1 species